AUUGAACGCUGGCGGCAGGCCUAACACAUGCAAGUCGAACGGUAACAGGAAGAAGCUUGCUUCUUUGCUGACGAGUGGCGGACGGGUGAGUAAUGUCUGGGAAACUGCCUGAUGGAGGGGGAUAACUACUGGAAACGGUAGCUAAUACCGCAUAACGUCGCAAGACCAAAGAGGGGGACCUUCGGGCCUCUUGCCAUCGGAUGUGCCCAGAUGGGAUUAGCUAGUAGGUGGGAUAACGGCUCACCUAGGCGACGAUCCCUAGCUGGUCUGAGAGGAUGACCAGCCACACUGGAACUGAGACACGGUCCAGACUCCUACGGGAGGCAGCAGUGGGGAAUAUUGCACAAUGGGCGCAAGCCUGAUGCAGCCAUGCCGCGUGUAUGAAGAAGGCCUUCGGGUUGUAAAGUACUUUCAGCGGGGAGGAAGGGAGUAAAGUUAAUACCUUUGCUCAUUGACGUUACCCGCAGAAGAAGCACCGGCUAACUCCGUG
rnacentral:rRNA from 1 species